rnacentral:ncRNA from 2 species
UCGCCCAAGGAGCGUUGCAGCGGCUUCCCGCCACAGGAGAGGCCGUCAGGCUUGGGCACGGUAUGCACCGCAUGCCCCAUCGCAACGACGCUCACCUGUU